UGGGGAAUAUUGCACAAUGGGCGCAAGCCUGAUGCAGCCAUGCCGCGUGUGUGAAGAAGGCCUUCGGGUUGUAAAGCACUUUCAGCGAGGAGGAAGGCAUCAUACUUAAUACGUGUGGUGAUUGACGUUACUCGCAGAAGAAGCACCGGCUAACUCCGUGCCAGCAGCCGCGGUAAUACGGAGGGUGCAAGCGUUAAUCGGAAUUACUGGGCGUAAAGCGCACGCAGGCGGUUUGUUAAGUCAGAUGUGAAAUCCCCGCGCUUAACGUGGGAACUGCAUUUGAAACUGGCAAGCUAGAGUCUUGUAGAGGGGGGUAGAAUUCCAGGUGUAGCGGUGAAAUGCGUAGAGAUCUGGAGGAAUACCGGUGGCGAAGGCGGCCCCCUGGACAAAGACUGACGCU
rnacentral:rRNA from 1 species